UCUCUCACAAUUUUCAACCCAGAUGUCAAGACUUCUCAUCUCACAUCUCAUUUAUUUCUCUUCCUCAUACACAUUUGAAGAAUCACCUUCCAUCAUCCUCAUAUACAUUUGAAGAAUCAUCCUCAUAUUUCUCUUCCUCUAAUAUUUCUCUGAUCUCUUUCUCUAAUAUGUCUAAUUUCAAGAAUCAUCCUCAUACACAUUUGAAACUAUACAUAUAUCAUUCUCUUCACAAUCUUUCAGAUCUCACAUAAAUUUCAGAUGUUUCACACACAUUUAAACCAAAUCGGAACAAGUCUUGACAUCUGGGUUUCAGAUCUGAACAAAAUAAAAUCGGAGGUGGUUUUGCCGGUGUGAUUAGGGCUUUAAGGAUAUGAAGUUGUGGGGUUUUUGCAUGUGUGUUUGAACAAAAAAAGAUGCUCCGAUCAAGAUCUGAGAUUUUCAAAAAAUCAGACAAUCGCCACACAAAAAAGACGAUCGCUGCAGAUCUUCAAAAAAUCAUCGGACAAAAUCAAACAUGGCUGAGUUGAACAACCAAAAACAUGGCAGAUUUUCAAAAAUCAUCAGACAAAAUCAAACAUCGCUGCAGAUCUUCAAAAUUCAUCGGACAAAAUCAAACAUAGCAAGAAACUCCAUGAAGAUGCAUUUGGUGAGAGUAGAGUUUCUUCAGAGUUUCCAGCCUCAGAUCUACAUCAAAAUGACACAAAUGAUGAUGAGGAUGGUGUUCAGAAUUGUACUUUUACAGAGCUGCUAUCCAUAGGUAUUCAUGCGGACGAGGAAUUUUAUGUUCACCACACACCCAAUGGCACUAGAAUGUGGUGUGCUAAUGUUCCUAUUGUUUUAAAGCCUGUUGUUGGUUGUGUAUAUGAAACGUAGAAGGACGUUACACAUAAUGUAAUACUUAUUGCUCCUUUUUUUGUUUACUGGGUGUUUACAUUUUUUGAAAUUAUACAGAAAAUGUAUGUUUA